rnacentral:rRNA from 1 species
UACGUAGGGUGCGAGCGUUGUCCGGAAUUAUUGGGCGUAAAGGGCUCGUAGGCGGUCUGUCGCGUCGGGAGUGAAAACUCGGGGCUUAACUCCGAGCCUGCUUCUGAUACGGGCAGACUAGAGGUAUGCAGGGGAGAAUGGAAUUCCUGGUGUAGCGGUGAAAUGCGCAGAUAUCAGGAGGAACACCGAUGGCGAAGGCAGGUCUCUGGGCAUUAACUGACGCUGAGGAGCGAAAGCAUGGGGAGCGAACAGG